UACGUAGGGGGCGAGCGUUGUCCGGAGUUACUGGGCGUAAAGCGCACGCAGGCGGUCUGCUAAGUUUGGAGUGACAGUUGGUGGCUUAACUGCCAAAGUGCUUCGAAAACUGACAGACUUGAGGGCUUCAGAGGGACACGGAAUUCCGGGUGGAGUGGUGAAAUGCGUAGAGAUCCGGAGGAACACCAAAGGCGAAGGCAGCAUCCUGGGAAGCACCUGACGCUCAGAUGCGAAAGCCAGGGGAGCGAACGGG
rnacentral:rRNA from 1 species